rnacentral:rRNA from 1 species
GACGAACGCUGGCGGCGUGCUUAACACAUGCAAGUCGAACGAGUGGCGAACGGGGGAGUAACACGUGGGUGACCUGCCCUGCACUUCGGGAUAAGCCUGGGGAACUGGGACUAAUACCGGAUAGUGUGGGAUGGGCACGCGGCCUAUCAGCGUGUUGGUGGGGUAAUGGCUACCAAGGCGCGACGGGUAGCCGGCCUGAGAGGGUGGGCGGCCACCUUGGGACUGAGACACGGCCCAGACGCCUACGGGAGGCAGCAGUGGGGAAUAUUGCACAAUGGGCGGAAGCCUGAUGCAGCGACGCCGCGUGGGGGAUGACGGCCUUCGGGUUGUAAAGUACUUUCAGCGGGGAGGCGUUACCCGCAGAAGAAGCACCGGCUAACUACGUGCCAGCCGCCGCGGUAAUAC